UAUUUUAGAAAAAAGAGGGGAAGAAGUGUAAGAAGUUUAUUUGGGUACCUUCUGCGGAAAAACAUCAAAACCUGGGACUCUUCUCCGAGAGCUCAAAUUGUGCAGGCGAAAUGGAAUCUGAGGGAGAUUUCUCCCAUCUGCACCCAAAACCUAACAAACCUACUAACCAUGCUUCCACUUCAAUUCAAGAAUCAAGCUUAAAAAUCCCUGUUCUACCAGAAGAACUCAUCACUGAAAUACUUUUAAACCUACCAGUAAAAUCCCUUUUGCAAUUCAGGUGUGUUUCAAAAUCUUGGCUUUCUUUAAUCUCUAGUCCUAAAUUUGUCAAGACCCAUCUCAGUUUAUGUGCUAAUAACAAGGCCUGCACCUACCAUAGACUUAUCUUGUCAUUGGUUCAACCAGUCACUACCUAUUCCCUUAUUUAUCAUCUUAUGGACUUUUCCCUUAGUACUUUACUUUAUGACUCUGUUACUAGGGCAUUUGACUUGGAUUAUCCUAUGAAAGGCCCCCACAAGUCUUUUGACGUUGUGGGUUCUGUCAAUGGGUUGGUUUGUUUUACUUUUGACCAAAAAGACUUAUUUCUCUGGAACCCAUCAAUUAGGAAGUUCAAGAAAUUGCCUGAUUUUAUUCCUAAAUUGAAUUUUCGUUCCUGUGUCAUGUAUGGUUUUGGAUAUGAUGAGGUUCAUGAUGAUUACAAGGUAGUGGCCGUUUCCCGGACUUCGAGUUAUGAUAUUUCACAUCAAGUUGAGGUCAAAAUAUAUAGUGUAAAUAGUGAUUCUUGGAGAAGUACCCAUGAUUUCAAUACUGGGAGGAAACUCAUUAAGUGGGGUAUGUCUGUGAAUGGGAAGCUUCAUUGGGCUAGUACUACUUCUCACAAGUUUGAUUCUUAUAAUGUUUGGUCUAUCCAAUCUAUUGAUUUGGCUGAUGGGAAAUUGGGAAAGGUGGAUAAACCCUGCUAUGGAGAAGGAGAUUUUGAUCUUGAAAUGUGCCUGGGAGUGUUGGGAAGUGAUCUUUCUGUGUUUUGUAGUUAUCAGAGAACUCAAACCGAUGUGUGGGUUAUGAAGGAGUAUGGGAUUAAAGAAUCUUGGACAAAGAUGUGUAUCAUCAAGUAUCCUAAUUAUCUUGUGGGGAAUCGGCUCUGUCCACCCUUUUGCAUGUCAAGUGAAGGUGAAAUUUUAUUUGAGCAUGGAUUAACUUUCAUAAUUUACAAUCCAAAGGAUGACUCGUUCAGAUACCCUACAGUUACGAACUGUGAUUCCUUUUAUUGGGAGAACAUGUACAUCGAAAGCCUAGUUUGGCCCAUUUUUACAGAAUGAACUUAUGAUGCAUCAACAACGAUAGCUUUGCAGACGAAGACAAUUAACAACAAUUUUUUUGCAAGAACAGUUAUUGGGUGGAGGUGCUUGGUGUCUUCAUCGACAAACUAAAUUGCAGUCAACUUUGUUUCUCUUCUUGACCAGUAUUUUAAGGAGGAUGUAGUGCCUCUAAACAGAGUAAGAACAAAGAGCACCUGGGACAUGGAAAUCAUGGCAGGUGAAUGCGCCAAUAAUGCCUGAUUGUAGUCCUUGCCAGGGUUUCUGUUUGAUCUGGGGGGCUUCUCCAAUAAUCUUCAUUAGGUGAAAAGCUGAUAGGGGUAAAGGAGGAUACACAGGAAUUACAGAACAACGGUUAAGAUCUGAUAUAGCAUCUAGUUUUGGUUGAAUAUCUUCCACUUAGACAGUGAUGUUGAGAUAAGCAAUGGUACGUUGCAACGAUAGAGCAAUUUAGGAAGCGAGUUUAGCUGUUGUGAUCAUGAGAGUGCGGUGGGAGUACCAUGGACAGGGCAGUGUAGGAGAAAAAGAUAUGGAGAUGAACCGAAGGUCUUGUCUGGUUUAAACUUGAAGUCAAGUUUUUUCCAGUCGAAACGUUGAACAAGCUUCGCAUUCACUUGAAUAUUAUAUGUAGUUUCAUAUUGAGAUUGAUCUACUAGAGAUAACUGACUUAAAUCGAAAACAAAAGGUUGCCGAAAUUGAAACAGAGAAAAGACACAAAUUGUUAAAACUGCAUUGGAGCAGAGGAAGUAGAGUGGUGGAUAUGAAGGUCAAUUAAAGGGCAAUCCCACUAGUAAGAAAACAAUUACUUCUUCAGUACUGCUUUAAAGUGGGAAGACACAAGUUAUAUCAUCGGUCUGUGCUUCUUGUGGUAUACAUCAGUUAGAACUUAGAAGAGACCUCAUGUUCCUUGCUGGUUUUUGGUUCCAGUAUGAACAUAUGCCAUUUAGGCACAAUGUAUCACUUAUGGUUAGCUGAAGGAAACUUUAUUUUAGUUUUUAAUGAUAAUACUUUAUUUUAACAUCUUUAUUUUAAAUAUUGAUGUUUCUUGUUGAA